CUACGGCUGAGAGUGAACUUCAUCUAGCUCAAGCCACAGCAUGACCUCAUCACAGCACAGCGAUGUUGCAAACAUCCCGAACGGACCUUACCUUUGUGAUGAGUGGUGUCUUGAUUCUUAUGCGUAAACAGUGAGUGUUUGAUGUGAGACAAAC